CCUGCCUCUGCCUCUGGGGCCAAGAGGAGCAGGAGGAGGGCGCGGGGCUUGCCAUUUUGUUGCCAGGGCGGCGAAUGUUGCCUCGUCUGCCUCCUCUUCCUGGAGCAGAGGGGCCCAGGCGGCCUCCCAGAAGCAGCGGCAGAAGAGCGGCAGCAGAAGCCUGCUCCAUACAAAGCCUUUUCCUUCGGCUGCUUCUGAGAAAAGCUCUGAAACCUGAAA